AAAUGAUGAGCAAGGGCAAUGGCCAAGCAUUUGAGGAUUGUUGUGCAUUUGAAUAGGAGAAACAUGGAGGAUAUGGCUGAAAUGAACAGCCAUCAAAUAAAUGAAACAGCAGCUAAGGAAGAAACAGUGAUAGGAUCUGAUCAAAUUUGAAGGAUGAAUCCACUCUACCAUGAAUGGAAGAUUUCCACCGCUUUUCUAUCCCCAUCACUCACCUCCUCUUAAAUCAAGAUGGCUUGUUUAACUCUUCACUCCCUACAAGAUUCAGUGCCACAAAAAUUAGGAGAGAGAUGUACUGCAGAAGAAUGUCCACUUUGAAAAUUA